AGGUAUUGGGUAAUGUACCAGGAUUAUUAUUUCAUUGCUAAUGCCUCAUCCAGUCAUUUAAAUUGGAUCAGCAGUUAAAGCGUUUAUUAUUAGGGCAUUUAGCAGACGCUUUUAUCCAAAGCGACUUACAUCAGUUAAUACACACAUUGACACACCGACGACAGAGUCAACCAUGCAAGGCGACAGCCAGCUCGUCGGGAGCAGUUAGGGUUAAGUGAGUGCUCAGGGACCCAUCAACACUCAGCUAGGAGGAGCUGGGGAUCGAACUAGCAACCUUUCGGUUACAAGACAACUGCUCUACCUCCUGAGCUAAGCCGACCCUUU